rnacentral:rRNA from 1 species
UACGGAGGGUGCCAGCGUUGUUCGGAAUCAUUGGGCGUAAAGAGCGUGUAGGUGGUUGAAUAAGUCAGGAGUGAAAUACCUCGGCUUAACCGGGGAACUGCUCUUGAAACUAUUCUUCUGGAGUACGAGAGAGGGUAGUGGAAUUCCAUGUGUAGAGGUGAAAUUCGUAGAUAUAUGGAGGAACACCAGUGGCGAAGGCGACUACCUGGCUCGUAACUGACACUGAGACGCGAGAGCGUGGGGAG